UACGGAAGGCAGCAGUGGGGAAUAUUGCACAAUGGGCGCAAGCCUGAUGCAGCCAUGCCGCGUGUAUGAAGAAGGCCUUCGGGUUGUAAAGUACUUUCAGUCGUGAGGAAGGUGUUAAGGUUAAUAACCUUAGCAAUUGACGUUAGCGACAGAAGAAGCACCGGCUAACUCCGUGCCAGCAGCCGCGGUAAUACGGAGGGUGCGAGCGUUAAUCGGAAUUACUGGGCGUAAAGGGCACGCAGGCGGUUAAUUAAGUUGGAUGUGAAAUCCCCGGGCUUAACCUGGGAAUGGCAUUCAAGACUGGUUAGCUAGAGUCUUGUAGAGGGGGUAGAAUUCCAUGUGUAGCGGUGAAAUGCGUAGAGAUGUGGAGGAAUACCGGUGGCGAAGGCGGCCCCUGGCAAAGACUGACGCUCAUGUGCGAAAGCGUGGGGAGCAAACAGGGAUUAGAUA
rnacentral:rRNA from 1 species